AGCCCGGUCCAGAGCAGGACCCGAGAGCCGGCGGGGCGCAGCCGGACUGGCAGCCGCUGCUGCUGCUCGUGCUGCCUGCGGGCGCUGCGCGGGGCCGCCUCUGCUUCCGCCCGGGCCAGACCUGCCACCGGCCCCUGCGCCGGGACCCGCUGGCUCCGCGGGGGCGCAGCACAUACCCCCGGCCUCAUGUGUACCUGUCGCCAGCGGAUCUGCCCAAGAGCUGGGACUGGCGCAGUGUGGGUGGUGUCAACUAUGCCAGCAUCACCAGGAACCAGCACAUCCCCAGGACUGCGGCUCCUGCUGGGCCCACGCCAGCACCAGCGCCAUGGCGGAUCAGAUCAACAUCAAGAGGAAGGGUGCGUGUCCCUCCGCCCUCCUGUCUGUGCAGCACGUCACCGACUGCGGUGACGCUGGCUCCGGUGAAGGGGGCAACGACCUGCCUGUGUGGGAGUACCCCACCGGCACGGCAUCCCCGAUGAGACCUGAACAACUACCAGGCCAAGGACCAGGAGUGUGACAAGUUUAACCAAUGUGGGACAUGCAAUGAAUUCAGAGUGCCAUGCCAUCCGGAGCUACACCCUCUGGAGAGUGGGAGACUACGGCUCUGUCUCUGGGAGGGAGAAGGUGAUGACAGAAAUCUACGCAAAUGGUCCCAUCAGCUGUGGAAUAAUGGCAACAGAAAGGGUGGCUAACUACUCCGGAGGCGUCUAUGCCCAAUACCAGGGCACCACCUUCAUAAACCAUGUCGUUUCCGUGGCUGGGUGGAGUGUCAGCGAUGAGACUGAGUACUGGAUU